ACAGUUAUUCAUCUAGCCUGAAUAUGUAUCAAUCAAGAUAACACCCCCCCCCCUUUUUUUAAUAAAACAUUUUUUAUCUUUAGUAUAUGCGAUAAAAAAAGAAACCAGAGCUAUAGCAAUAGUACCGCAAGGGAAUAAUGAAAUAGUAGUGAAAUAAAUUUCAACCUUAUAAAGCAGAGAUUUUACCUCGUACCUUUUGCAUCAUGGCCUAACAAGUCUAACCAGGCAAAACGAAUUUUAGUCUGGCCCCCCGAAACUAAGUGAGCUACUCCGAAGCACUAAAAGUAACCCGUCUCUGUGGCAAAAGAGUGGGGAGACUUCCGAGUAGAGGCGACAAACCUAUCGAACCUAGUGAUAGCUGGUUGCUCAGGAAAAGAAUUUUAGUUCUUUCUUAAAAAUCACCAAGCACUAUCAAGCAUUAAAUUUUUAAGAACUAUUCAAUAAGGGUACAGCCUUAUUGAAAAAGGACACAACCUAAACUUCAGGUUAAUGAUUAAACCAUUUAAGGUAUAAAGGCUAAGUUGGCUUAAAAGCAGUCACCUUUUAAAAAGCGUCAAAGCUUCACCUUCCCCCCACCUUUUAUUUAAUUAAUUUUUCAAAAUCCGUUAUUACUACUGAGCUGUUCUAUAUUGAUAUAGAAGUAUUUAUGUUAGGACUAGUAACACAGAAUUAUUUCUCUUAUAUGUAAGUAUACAUCAGCCUGAAUACCCCACUGAUAGUUAUCCAGUUUUGAGCAUAAAGUAAUAACAUUCCAUGAAAACAUUACUAAAACCUCUGUUAACCUUACACAAGAACAUAAAAGAAAGAUUAAAAGUUUAGGAAGGAACUCGGCAAACACAAAUCCCGCCUGUUUACCAAAAACAUCGCCUUUUGAAUUAUAUAAAAGGUAACGCCUGCCCAGUGACAUCAUGUUCAACGGCCGCGGUAUUCUGACCGUGCGAAGGUAGCGUAAUCACUUGUCUUUUAAAUAAAGACUAGUAUGAAUGGCACCACGAGGAUUUAGCUGUCUCCUUAAACUCAUCAGUGAAACUGAUCUCCCCGUGCAAAAGCGGGGAUAAAUACAUAAGACGAGAAGACCCUAUGGAGCUUAAAACUAAUAGCCGCCUAUGCUUUCUGCUAAAAUAAAUAGCACUAUAACAAUAGGUCCGGCCUACGUUUUCAGUUGGGGUGACUAUGGAGAAAAACCCAUCCUCCAUGAAGAAACAAGCCUUGAGUUACUACUCUACGCAUUAGCAAGCCUGACUUUACUUGAUCCAAUCUAUUUGAUCAACGGACCAAGUUACCCUAGGGAUAACAGCGCAAUCCAUUUCAAGAGUCCUUAUCGACAAAUGGGUUUACGACCUCGAUGUUGGAUUAGGACACCCUAGUGGUGCAGCCGCUACUAACGGUUCGUUUGUUC
rnacentral:rRNA from 1 species